GUGCCGACUUGUCCAAUUACAUUUGAGCCCCUGGAAUAAGGGGAUUGUGUAUGAAAAUGGUUGCAAUUCCUAAACGUUUUGUAAAAUAUUUUUGUUCAACCCCUUGAACUACAGCUAAAAGUCUUCACUUCAACUGCAUCUUGAUUUUCAUUUCCAAUCCAUUGUGGUGGUGUAUGUAGCAAAAAUGAUCAGUUUCCAAAUAUUUAUAGACCUAACUCUAUGUAUAUGUGUGCACUAAGAUCCUGUGGGACUUUCAGAUCCAGAUGGACAAGCAAGUACUGGCCAACCAGCCUCACAUGGUGGUAGACAAGGAACGUAAGACUGCAGUAGUGGUGGAUGUGGCAGUACCCAGUGAUUAGAACAUCAAGAAAAAAGAACAUGAGAAGAUUGACAACUAGCAAGGACUGAUCUAGAAAGGAUGUGGAAAAUUAGGCAGUAGUAGUCCCAGUUGUGAUAGGAGCACUCGGGCUGUGACUCCCAAGUUGGGGAAGUGGCUUCAACAGAUUCCAGGUGGGACAUCUGAGAUCGCUG